UGGCGGGAAAAUGUUAAAUUGCGU
rnacentral:siRNA from 1 species